GCAGCUCACCCAGCCUGGCCUCAUGGUUGAGGAUUUCUGCAUCAGCCAUGCGCUGGAGCUGACAGUGCUUUCACAGGGGGCAGGCUGGGUGUUCCAUCUUUGCAGGACAUCCUUUGUGUGGCCCAGCCGUGAGACGCUGCCUCACUGGGAAAGGUGCUUCUGCUUUAGAGAAAAUAGACCAUCAAUGGCCAGCAAAUGAUGUUUCCUGUGGACACACUAGUGAACAAUAAAAGAGGAUCCUUGGGCUGCUGAGAUGACUCAGUGGAUACAGCUGCUUGCUGCCAAGUGGGAUGACCUGAAUAUGAUCCCUGGAACCCACAUGGUGGAAGGAAGAAAACCAACUUCCACAAAGCUGUCCUCUGACUCCACGUGUAUUCUGUGGCACGCAGACGUGCGCUCGCGCACAUGCAUGCAUGCAUGCAGAAGCAAUAAAGACUACUGUUUGAACGCUGUACUGUAGAAGGCACAGACUGAGACGCUGCGUCAACUGCGCAUGCCUGCCUUUGUGACCGGCUGCAUAAUCGAUCCUUCCGAGCCCGUGUGCCACGCUGGAAAGCUGCAUCUAAGAGUACUCUCUUCCCCCAACUCAUAAUAAGGGAGAGCCUUGUCCUGUUGGUCCCCGCAG
ensembl:lincRNA Gm44868 predicted gene 44868